UACAGAGGUCCCGAGCGUUGUUCGGAUUCACUGGGCGUAAAGGGUGCGUAGGUGGUCGGGUAAGUCUGAGGUGAAAUCUCCGAGCUCAACUCGGAAACUGCCUUGGAUACUAUCCGGCUUGAGGGUUGGAGGGGGGACUGGAAUUCUCGGUGUAGCAGUGAAAUGCGUAGAUAUCGAGAGGAACACCAGUGGCGAAGGCGAGUCCCUGGACAACUCCUGACGCUGAGGCACGAAAGCUAGGGGAGCAAACAGG
rnacentral:rRNA from 1 species